GGGCUAAUGAUGAGAAACAUAAUUAUCUUAGCGGAUUUCAGUGAGAUUACUUAUAAUCAAUGAUCUGAUUGUUACACACACUGAAGCUCUUAAUAAUUUUUUUUAAUUAAAUGGGAUGUAAAUAGUAAUAAUAGCAGUGAUGAGGUUAAACACAUGAGGAUGUGUUUAGGGAAGUGGACAAGACGAUUAAAACCGUUUUGCCGUGAUCCCCAAUUUAAACGACUUCUCCUUCCGCUGAGCUUU
rnacentral:lncRNA from 1 species